rnacentral:lncRNA from 1 species
CGAAGAAUUCUAGUUCUAGUUCUUCUUCUGCCUAAUCUUUAGAACCAUGUGCCUAAGAGGGCGAGGACCUUUAUAGCCAUAAUUCUUCCCCCGGUUCUACCUCCUUCUGCAAUAGUGAUCUAUCCCGUCAAUCCCACCCGCGAGCUAUCCAUUCUAACCUGUCUUUGCCUAGCAAGAUACGUCUAGUUCUCCCUCCGCUUGCCUAUCUCAGUAGGAAAUUGGAACAGUCUCCGAUUUCAAAAAAAAAA